rnacentral:rRNA from 1 species
CAGGAUCGAAAGACCUUGCGCUCUUGGAGCGGCCGAUGCCUGAUUAGCUAGUUGGUGAGGUAAAGGCUUACCAAGGCGACGAUCAGUAGCUGGUCUGAGAGGACGACCAGCCACACUGGGACUGAGACACGGCCCAGACUCCUACGGGAGGCAGCAGUGGGGAAUUUUGGACAAUGGGGGAAACCCUGAUCCAGCCAUGCCGCGUGAGUGAAGAAGGCCUUCGGGUUGUAAAGCUCUUUCAGCCGGAACGAAACGGUCACGGCUAAUACCCGUGACUACUGACGGUACCGGAAGAAGAAGCACCGGCUAACUACGUGCCAGCAGCCGCGGUAAUACGUAGGGUGCAAGCGUUAAUCGGAAUUACUGGGCGUAAAGCGUGCGCAGGCGGUUUGUAAGUCAGAU